rnacentral:lncRNA from 10 species
GUGGUGGGCUCCACCCAGUUGGAGCUUCCUGGCUGCUUUGUUUACCUAAUCAAGCCUGGGCAAUGGCAGGCGCCCCUCCCCCAGCCUUGCUGCCGCCUUGCAGUUUGAUCUCAGACUGCUGUGCUAGCAAUCAGCGAGACUCCGUGGGUGUAGGACCCUCCGAGCCAGGUGCGGGAUAUAAUCUUGUGGUGCUCCGUUUUUUAAGCCCGUUGGAAAAGCGCAGUAUUCGGGGGGAGUGACCCGAUUUUCCAGGUGCCGUCUGUCACCCCUUUCUUUGACUCAGAAAGGGAACUCACUGACCCCUUGCACUUCCCAAGUGAGGCAAUGCCUCGCCCUGCUUCGGCUCGCGCACAGUGCGCGCACCCACUGACCUGUGCCUGCUGUCUGGCACUUCCUAGUGAGAUGAACCCGGUACCUACGAUGGAAGUGCAGAAGUCACCCGUCUUCUGCGUCGCUCACGCUGGGAGCUGUAGACCAGAGCUGUUCCUAUUCGGCCAUCUUCAAAAGUAAGUUUUUAAAAAACCUGCAUGCGAUACAAUAAGAUUUCUAUAAAUAAGGAUAUUGGAAUAAAGGUAAAAUACAGCUGGAAUGCUAGGGUUUAGGUAGAGACAUUUAGGUAGUAGAAUGCACCCCCUAAAGCCCUAUAAUUUUUACCUUGUUCUGAGCUUCCUGAGAACUAAAGAAAAGUAAGACAGGGUUGGUUAUAUGAUUCAUGUCAUCUAUAAGCUAAAAAUAAAUCAGUUGAUCUCCACAGUGGAGAUCAAGAUUGCAUUAGAUUAGGUCUGCCAUGACAAAGUACCACAAACUGGGUGGCUCCAAACAGUAGAAGUGUAUUUUAUCACAAUUCUGGAGGCUAAAGCUCUGAAAGCAAGAUGUUGGGAAAACCAAGCUCUCUCUGAAAUUUGCAGUGGAGAAUCCUUCCUUGUCUCUUUUUAGCUGCUGGUGGUUCUUGGCAUCCCUUGGCUUGUAGAAGCAUCAUCCCACUCCCUCCUUCAUCUUCACAUGAUGUUCUCAUUGCAGGUGUCCACAUUUUCUCUUUUUACAAUAACACUGGUUAUUUUGGACUAGAGGCCCACCCUACUUCAGCAUGUCUCCCUCUUAAUUAAUUACAUCUGCAAUGACCCUGUUUCCAAAUAAAAUCACAUUCUGAGGUAUUGGAGGUUAGAACUUCAAAGUGUGGGAACAAUUUUUAACCCAUGACAAGGAUUAAGAAGGUUAUGAGUGUAGGCUAUGAGGCCAGACUGUCUUGCUGAAAUCCAGACUCUAAUACUUCUUAGCUGUGUGACCUCAGACAGUUUACUUCACCUCUCUGUGUCUUCAUCUCCUAAUUUGUAAAAUGACAUUCUUAAGGACAUUUAACUCAUGGAUUUUUGUGAGAACUAACUGAAAUAAUAUAUGUAAAGUGAUUGAAAAGUUGCUUAACACAUAGAAUGCACUCUAUUCGCAUCACACAGGUUGAUAAAGACCAGGGGUCAUUUCCAAGUUCAUACUGCUACUGUGUGGUAAAAAUGCAUUUUGGGCCUUGGGCUUUCUCAGUGUAAACAAAUGUAUUUUCCUUUAUAUUCCAGCUUAGUUGAUUGCUUUUGAUAUAUUAGAAUACAUAUGUAUUCUAAUUAUAUCUAUAUUAUAAAUAUAGAUAUUUUAAAGACUGAUGAAAGAAGAGAAGGAAAGAAAAAGGAAGGGAAAGAAGGAAGGAAGGAAGGAAGGAAAGAAAGAAAGAAAGAAAGAAAGAAAGAAAGAAAGAAAGAAAGAAAGAAAAAAUGAAAGAAAGAAAGGAAGGAAGGAAAAGAAAGAAAGACAGAAGAAAGAAAGAAAAAGAAAGAAGAAAGAAAGAAAGAAAACUAGUUCCUUAAGAAAGUAGUGAAUUGAAUAAAGGCAGUUGUAAAAUUAGCGCCAAAAGUAGUUGAACUAUUGGUAAAAGACAAUUAACCACCAACACACUACAUAAUCUGAAACUCUUGAGAAUGGCUAUUUUUUUUUCUGCUUUGUUCACUAAUAAAUUCUUGCUACUCAGAACAAUGCCUGGCACAAAAUAGAUACCUAAGAAAUAUGUACUGAGCCCUGAAUGUAAAUGUGGAACUACUUUACAAAUGGGCAUAUGCUUUAAUCAAGAAAUCUUGCUCUUAGUGAUUUUCUUUAAGGAAACAAUGAAAGCUAAGGAAAGGUUUAGUUAUAUUAAUUUUUACUGAAGGAUUGUAUAUAAAGCAAAAAUGUUGGCAGCACCCUAAAUGUACGUUAACAGGAAACAAGUUAAAUAGAUGACAGACCUGGAGUGAUAAGAUGGUAUACCAUCUCCAGCAGGGAAAAUAAUGGCUCCAAAGAUGCCCCUGUCCUAAUCUCCAGAACCCGUGACUUUGAAGAUUUGAUUAAGGUUAAAAAGCUUGAAACAGAGAAAUUAUCUUGGAUUAUGCAGGAGGGCCCAAUCUAAUUGCAUAUAUCUCUAAAAGUGAAGAACGUUCCUGGGUGUGAUCAGAGUAAGAGGUGAUGGCGGAGGAAAGUCAGAUAAAUGCUACUUUGCUGGCCUUGAGGAAGGGGAAGGGGCAUUAAGUCCGUUAAUACAGAUGGCCUCUAGAAACUAGAGAAGGCAAGGAGACAGAUUCUUCCCUAGAGCUUCUGAAAGGAAUGCAGCCCUGCUGACACGUUGAUUUUAGCCCUGUGAGAACGAUGUCAGAUUCCUCACCCAUAGGACUGUAAGAGAAUAAAUAUAUUUUUAUUUAAGCCACGAAGUGUGUGGUCAUUUGGUACAGCAGCAACAGGAAACUCAUGCAGCAUUCAAAGCUUUCUCAUAACUAAGUAGGGCAGGAGCCUCACAUAGAUGCCUACAGCAGCCAAGCAGUUACAUGCAAUUGUGAGUCUGGACUAUGAUAAAACAGUAAAUGAUAAGCUUUUAAAAUUGAUACCAAGUCUGCCACAUGCUGUCCAGUUACUUAGUCUGUCAAGAUACUAUGCAAAAAAACAGAAAAAUAACUGUGAGCCAUGCAUCUCUAACCUCUACUGUAGUGGAAAAUUUAUGAGCAUGAGCGAAUGCUCACAAUAUAUUUUUAAAGAAAAGUAGCUGCUUUUAAAAUAGCAGAUGCAGUAGAAUUUUUUUUUAAUCUUGUAAUUGUAUUUACAUAGAAAAAGAUUUGGAAGGAUAUGAUCUCACACAGUAAUCGUCUGGGAGGAUAAGACAAGUUUUAAUUUUUUUUGCUUCUCUGUAUAUUUUAAUUUCUUUAUAAUGGGUGUAUAUCAUUUUAAAUAUAAACUACAAGUUAAAUAGAGAAAGGGGAGGUGAAUCACCCCAACCUGGCAGAGUAGGCAGUGGACCAGCUUGCCUGACCUGACAAUCUCAGUGUGAGCUGCAUUCCAGGCUGUCACCAAUUAUUCCCUUCUCUCCUGGGUGCUGGUGACAAUUGCUUUUGGUGCCAUUUCAGCCAUGCCUUAUUCAUUCUUCUUUGGGGCCAAUUCACUUAAAAGUGUGCUGACCCCACAGAAAAGCUAGUGCUCUCAAACUACCUCCCUGGAGAAGCUCCACAUUGCAGCUAUGAAACAGGACUGUGCAAAACUCAUAAAUCUCCCACCUUUUUGAAUUAACAAUUCUGCAGGGUAGCAAAUACAAUACAUAUUAACUGGGUCACGUCAUCUAUCUCAAAGGGCUGAAAACAACAGAAUUGAAACCAGAGACCUGAAUGAAAUCUUUCCUGUGACCAUUCACUGUCUGCUUCACUAUCCCUCCUCCCCACCUCACUCUACUGCUCAGCUUCUUUCAAGACCUAGUGGAGGAAAAGGUGAGGUCAGGAGGCAGAGAGACCUGGGAUGGGACCCUAGCUUCACCCCUUGCCAGGCGGUG